GUGCAGCAGGCUUGGAACCGGGCACGCAGGAGGUGGGUUUUGUGGCGGCAGGNAGCAGGCAGCGCGGGGCUGCUGGUGGUGGUGGAGGAGGAUGAAGUUCGCCAUUCAAACAACCCUUUCUGCACCGGUCCUGUGCUGCCCGUUGCCUGCAGGAGCAAAACACACCCACUCCGUGUCCGGCUCCAAGAUUGCUGAACCC
rnacentral:pre_miRNA from 1 species